CACGUAGGGUGCGAGCGUUGUCCGGAAUUAUUGGGCGUAAAGAGCUCGUAGGCGGUGUGUCGCGUCGGCCGUGAAAACCUGCAGCUUAACUGUGGGCUUGCGGUCGAUACGGGCAUCACUGGAGUUCGGCAGGGGAGACUGGAAUUCCUGGUGUAGCGGUGAAAUGCGCAGAUAUCAGGAGGAACACCGGUGGCGAAGGCGCUGCUCUGGGCCGGUACUGACGCUGAGGAGCGAAAGCGUGGGUAGCAAACAGG
rnacentral:rRNA from 1 species